CAAGGAAUAGUUUAAAUAGAAUAUCAGCUUUGGGUGUUGAUGGUGGGGCUUCAGCCCCUUCCUUGA
rnacentral:tRNA from 1 species